UACGGGGGGGGGCAAGCGUUGUUCGGAAUUACUGGGCGUAAAGGGCUCGUAGGCGGCCAACUAAGUCAUACGUGAAAUCCCUCGGCUUAACCGGGGAACUGCGUCUGAUACUGGAUGGCUUGAGUUCGGGAGAGGUGAGUGGAACUGCGAGUGUAGAGGUGAAAUUCGUAGAUAUUCGGAAGAACACCAGUGGCGAAGGCGACUUACUGGACGAUUGUUGACGCUGAGGUGCGAAAGCGUGGGGAGCAAACAGG
rnacentral:rRNA from 1 species